rnacentral:rRNA from 1 species
AGAGUUUGAUCCUGGCUCAGGAUGAACGCUAGCGGGAGGCUUAACACAUGCAAGUCGAGGGGUAACAGGGGUAGCAAUACCUGCUGACGACCGGCGUACGGGUGAGUAACGCGUAUGCAACCUGCCCUAUACAGGAGGAUAGCCCGGAGAAAUUCGGAUUAAUACUCCAUGUAGCAUUUUUUUCGCAUGAAUUAGAUGUUAAAGAUUUAUCGGUAUAGGAUGGGCAUGCGUCCCAUUAGCUAGUUGGUGAGGUAACGGCUCACCAAGGCAUCGAUGGGUAUGGGGUCUUAAAGGAUGGUCCCACACACUGGCACUGAGACACGGGCCAGACUCCUACGGGAGGCAGCAGUGAGGAAUAUUGGUCAAUGGGUGAGAGCCUGAACCAGCCAUCCCGCGUGCAGGAUGACGGUCCUAGUGAUUGUAAACUGCUUUUCUAUGAGAUGAAUAAGAAUUACGUGUAGUUCGAUGACCGUAUUAUAGGAAUAAGCAUCGGCUAACUCCGUGCCAGCAGCCGCGGUAAUACGGAGGAUGCAAGCGUUAUCCGGAUUUAUUAGGUUUAAAGGGUGCGUAGGUGGGCGUUUAAGUCAGUGGUUAAAGCCAUUAGCUUAACUAAUGUAUGCCAUUGAUACUGGAUGUCUUGAAUGUGGUAGAGGUAGGCGGAAUGUGUUGUGUAGCGGUGAAAUGCUUAGAUAUAACACAGAACACCGAUUGCGAAGGCAGCUUACUAUUCCAUUAUUGACGCUGAUGCACGAAAGCGUGGGGAUCAAACAGGAUUAGAUACCCUGGUAGUCCACGCUGUAAACUAUGAUCACUCGUUUUUGGCGAUAUAUAGUCAGAGACUGAGCGAAAGCAUUAAGUGAUCCACCUGGGGAGUACGUUCGCAAGAAUGAAACUCAAAGGAAUUGACGG